CACAGGUCUCUGCUAAACCGUAAGGUGAUGUAUAGGGGCUGACGCCUGCCCGGUGCUGGAAGGUUAAGAGGAGUGGUUAGCUUCUGCGAAGCUACGAAUCGAAGCCCCAGUAAACGGCGGCCGUAACUAUAACGGUCCUAAGGUAGCGAAAUUCCUUGUCGGGUAAGUUCCGACCCGCACGAAAGGCGUAACGAUUUGGGCACUGUCUCAACGAGAGACUCGGUGAAAUCAUAGUACCUGUGAAGAUGCAGGUUACCCGCGACAGGACGGAAAGACCCCGUGGAGCUUUACUGUAGCCUGAUAUUGAAAUUCGGCACAG
rnacentral:rRNA from 1 species